rnacentral:rRNA from 1 species
GAGUUUGAUCAUGGCUCAGAUUGAACGCUGGCGGCAGGCCUAACACAUGCAAGUCGAACGGUAACAGGAAGCAGCUUGCUGCUUCGCUGACGAGUGGCGGACGGGUGAGUAAUGUCUGGGAAGCUGCCUGAUGGAGGGGGAUAACUACUGGAAACGGUAGCUAAUACCGCAUAAUGUCGCAAGACCAAAGAGGGGGACCUUCGGGCCUCUUGCCAUCGGAUGUGCCCAGAUGGGAUUAGCUUGUUGGUGGGGUAACGGCUCACCAAGGCGACGAUCCCUAGCUGGUCUGAGAGGAUGACCAGCCACACUGGAACUGAGACACGGUCCAGACUCCUACGGGAGGCAGCAGUGGGGAAUAUUGCACAAUGGGCGCAAGCCUGAUGCAGCCAUGCCGCGUGUAUGAAGAAGGCCUUCGGGUUGUAAAGUACUUUCAGCGGGGAGGAAGGGAGUAAAGUUAAUACCUUUGCUCAUUGACGUUACCCGCAGAAGAAGCACCGGCUAACUCCGUGCCAGCAGCCGCGGUAAUACGGAGGGUGCAAGCGUUAAUCGGAAUUACUGGGCGUAAAGCGCACGCAGGCGGUUUGUUAAGUCAGAUGUGAAAUCCCCGGGCUCAACCUGGGAACUGCAUCUGAUACUGGCAAGCUUGAGUCUCGUAGAGGGGGGUAGAAUUCCAGGUGUAGCGGUGAAAUGCGUAGAGAUCUGGAGGAAUACCGGUGGCGAAGGCGGCCCCCUGGACGAAGACUGACGCUCAGGUGCGAAAGCGUGGGGAGCAAACAGGAUUAGAUACCCUGGUAGUCCACGCCGUAAACGAUGUCGACUUGGAGGUUGUGCCCUUGAGGCGUGGCUUCCGGAGCUAACGCGUUAAGUCGACCGCCUGGGGAGUACGGCCGCAAGGCUAAAACUCAAAUGAAUUGACGGGGGCCCGCACAAGCGGUGGAGCAUGUGGUUUAAUUCGAUGCAACGCGAAGAACCUUACCUGGUCUUGACAUCCACGGAAGUUUUCAGAGAUGAGAAUGUGCCUUCGGGAACCGUGAGACAGGUGCUGCAUGGCUGUCGUCAGCUCGUGUUGUGAAAUGUUGGGUUAAGUCCCGCAACGAGCGCAACCCUUAUCCUUUGUUGCCAGCGGUCCGGCCGGGAACUCAAAGGAGACUGCCAGUGAUAAACUGGAGGAAGGUGGGGAUGACGUCAAGUCAUCAUGGCCCUUACGACCAGGGCUACACACGUGCUACAAUGGCGCAUACAAAGAGAAGCGACCUCGCGAGAGCAGGCGGACCUCAUAAAGUGCGUCGUAGUCCGGAUUGGAGUCUGCAACUCGACUCCAUGAAGUCGGAAUCGCUAGUAAUCGUGGAUCAGAAUGCCACGGUGAAUACGUUCCCGGGCCUUGUACGCACCGCCCGUCACACCAUGGGAGUGGGUUGCAAAAGAAGUAGGUAGCUUAACCUUCGGGAGGGCGCUUACCACUUUGUGAUUCAUGACUGGGGUGAAGUCGUAACAAGGUA